rnacentral:rRNA from 1 species
CGGAGGAUCCAAGCGUUAUCCGGAAUCAUUGGGUUUAAAGGGUCCGUAGGCGGUUUGGUAAGUCAGUGGUGAAAGCCCAUCGCUCAACGGUGGAACGGCCAUUGAUACUGCCAGACUUGAAUUAUUAGGAAGUAACUAGAAUAUGUAGUGUAGCGGUGAAUGCUUAGAGAUUACAUGGAAUACCAAUUGCGAAGGCAGGUUACUACUAAUGGAUUGACGCUGAUGGACGAAAGCGUGGGUAGCGAACAGGAUUAGAUACCCUGGUAGUCCACGCCGUAAACGAUGGAUACUAGCUGUUGGGGGCAACUUCAGUGGCUAAGCGAAAGUGAUAAGUAUCCCACCUGGGGAGUACGUUCGCAAGAAUG